rnacentral:rRNA from 1 species
AUUGAACGCUGGCGGCAGGCUUAACACAUGCAAGUCGAGCGGGGGAAGGUAGCUUGCUACCGGACCUAGCGGCGGACGGGUGAGUAAUGCUUAGGAAUCUGCCUAUUAGUGGGGGACAACAUCUCGAAAGGGAUGCUAAUACCGUAUACGUCCUACGGGAGAAAGCAGGGGAUCUUCGGACUUUGCGCUAAUAGAUGAGCCUAAGUCGGAUUAGCUAGUUGGUGGGGUAAAGGCCUACCAAGGCGACGAUCUGUAGCGGGUCUGAGAGGAUGAUCCGCCACACUGGGACUGAGACACGGCCCAGACUCCUACGGGAGGCAGCAGUGGGGAAUAUUGGACAAUGGGGGGAACCCUGAUCCAGCCAUGCCGCGUGUGUGAAGAAGGCCUUAUGGUUGUAAAGCACUUUAAGCGAGGAGGAGGCUACUUUAGUUAAUACCUAGAGAUAGUGGACGUUACUCGCAGAAUAAGCACCGGCUAACUCUGUGCCAGCAGCCGCCGUAA